UACGGAGGGGGCUAGCGUUGUUCGGAAUUACUGGGCGUAAAGCGCACGUAGGCGGACUGGAAAGUUGGGGGUGAAAUCCCGGGGCUCAACCUCGGAACUGCCUCCAAAACUCCCAGUCUUGAGUUCGAGAGAGGUGAGUGGAACUCCGAGUGUAGAGGUGAAAUUCGUAGAUAUUCGGAAGAACACCAGUGGCGAAGGCGGCUCACUGGCUCGAUACUGACGCUGAGGUGCGAAAGUGUGGGGAGCAAACAGG
rnacentral:rRNA from 1 species